rnacentral:rRNA from 1 species
UACAUGGGGUGCAAACGUUGCUCGGAAUCACUGGGCGUAAAGGGUGCGUAGGCGGGUCUUUUAAGUCAGGGGUGAAAUCCUGGAGCUCAACUCCAGAACUGCCUUUGAUACUGAAGAUCUUGAGUUCGGGAGAGGUGAGUGGAACUGCGAGUGUAGAGGUGAAAUUCGUAGAUAUUCGCAAGAACACCAGUGGCGAAGGCGGCUCACUGGCCCGAUACUGACGCUGAGGCACGAAAGCGUGGGGAGCAAACAGGG